CCGGCGUAUCGUGCGGGGCACAGCGCGGGGCAAAGCCAGAGGAAACUCUGGUGGAGGCUCGAAGCGAGACUGACGUGCAAAUCGUUCGUCUGACUUGGGUAUUGGGGCGAAAGACUAAUCGAACCAUCUAGUAGCUG
rnacentral:rRNA from 1 species